UACAGAGGGUGCGAGCGUUGUUCGGAAUUACUGGGCGUAAAGCGCGCGCAGGCGGCCUUUUAAGUCUGCUGGUGAAAUGCCGGGGCUCAACCCCGUGCCCGCCACAGAUACUGGGAGGCUGGAGACGAGUAGAGGCAAGCGGAAUUCCGGGUGUAGCGGUGGAAUGCGUAGAGAUCCGGAAGAACACCGGAGGCGAAGGCGGCUUGCUGGGCUUGGUCUGACGCUGAGGCGCGAAAGCCAGGGGAGCGAACGGG
rnacentral:rRNA from 1 species